UACUAUUGCACAAUGCUGCAAUAUUCAUUGCAGUGCAACAAACUGAUGUCAUGAUAGUAACAAGCAGAUAAGAAAUUCUGCAACCAGAAUUCAGAGAGCUUCACUUAUAUUUGAUAAAAUGAAGCAUCAGAAGCACAACGCGCACAUAUUCUCAAGCCUUGCAAGAUAAACAUUACCACUACUUUCUCAGUGAUAUUCUACAUGAAAAAAGAUGACAAUUUUUUCUUGCAGUCUAUAACCACUUGAGACCUCAACUCCGACCCGGCUGAGAUUGAUUCCCUUGUUCAACAUAAGGCCGCACGAAAGUCCUCUUCCACCACACCUCAAAGGCCUUCUGCAGAUUGGGGCAGCUAUCCCCAACCUUCAAGAAGCUCCCGAGCCAUGAAAGCAAUAUCGUCUGCUGAUCCUCGAGCGGGAGUGUCAAGAUAGUACGCCCGAUCCCUUCCUCGACAACUUUGCGGUCAAAUGACCUGCAGCCAUGCUGUAACCAGUUGUAGUCAUCCAUGAGAGGCUGCAGCCAGACAUCCAAGAGAAGCUUCCUUGUGUCCUUUGAAGGGAGCAUGUCUCCUUUCCCAAUUGCCACAAAGAGCCUUGCUGUGACGCAGCUGACAAGAUGGCGCGACUUGGUUGGUAACUUGGAGUGAAGCUCAGCCAACUCACCCUGGUUAGACCACAUGACUGCAAACUCACCAGCAGCAUUCCUGUCGGCCAAAAUCUCAGUUAACCAAAGGAGAUUAUCUGCUUCUAGAGCAAUUUGUCGAAAAACUGGCUCUUUAAGGUCUAAGGAUUGCUCAGCAAAAUCGUCGGCAGUCGCUUGUCGAAACAAGGUCAACAAGGAUUCCAGGCAAUUCUGGCAAGAGCUGUAGAGAGUCUCAGCAUAGAUAUCCACAGAUGUACUGGUACAGCUGCUAUUCUCCUUCAGAAGCUUCAGCACCAGGGAUUUCAUUUCGCGGCGCCCUCUAUCCUCGCCGCUCUUCAAGACUAAUUCUAUGAUAUGCACAAAUGUGUCAUUUGGUGGGCUUGUUAGGUCAGAGCAUACCCUCUUCAGUAUUGGGCUAACACCAUAAUUCCCACUUUGCAGAUGCUGAACAGAUGAUACCACAUUCUCCUCUUCUUCCCCGACCCAAGGGACGGCUUCCAAGUACUCUAAGCAAGACAAAACACAUGCUUGGAAACCUAAUAAUUCUGCAACCUAUCCGAAGAACGCGUGGAACACUUUGCUUGAUAAGCCUCUGCUUGGCAUCAUUGCAGUACAUCAAUCCAACUGUCUCAACAUAGAUCUCCACAUCCUCACAAUCAGGCACCUCCAUGCUUGACAUUGGGGAUUGUCUUGAGAGCUUAUCAGCAAACCAGGUACUAUUUUCUGCAAGGAUGUUCCUGUGAACACUCAUCUUUACAGCAACACCAUCCUUGCCAUACAACACAACCUUGAGAUCACUCAUCUCAAGUUGACCAAAUCCAACAGAUAUCUUAUGCUGCUUCUGUGGUCUAUCAUUCGCUACCUUCGGUGGAUUGGGUGUUGAAUUUUCCGCUGGCGCGCACUUCUGUUCAUCCGAAUUGAUUCUAGACCUUGUCGGAGUUGAAUGCGCUCUUCUCUCUGAUGAAAUGGUAGGCGCCCUCUGAACCGAAGAGGCCUUUGAUGCAAGAGGAGAUGCACCCCCUUUAGGCUUUGCCUGCUGAUUUUGGUUCUUCAUUGUCUUUUGGAGCACGGCCUGCGACGGGCAGCACCAGAAUCCUUCUGGUGUUACAGCAAUGGGGACAUUUCUGAUCUUUGUUGCUCGGGCAUCAAGGCUCCCAACCUUGAACUCUGUCAUGUUGCCUUAGGAAGCUUACGGCCAAUGACUUGUCUGAUAUUAACUGUAGAACUAGCACUUGUUCAUAUACCUGAGCAGCAAUCCA
rnacentral:sRNA from 1 species